rnacentral:rRNA from 1 species
GAACUUAGCAGAGAUGCUUUGGUGCCUUCGGGAACUCUGAGACAGGUGCUGCAUGGCUGUCGUCAGCUCGUGUUGUGAAAUGUUGGGUUAAGUCCCGCAACGAGCGCAACCCUUAUCCUUUGUUGCCAGCGGUCCGGCCGGGAACUCAAAGGAGACUGCCAGUGAUAAACUGGAGGAAGGUGGGGAUGACGUCAAGUCAUCAUGGCCCUUACGAGUAGGGCUACACACGUGCUACAAUGGCGCAUACAAAGAGAAGCGACCUCGCGAGAGCAAGCGGACCUCAUAAAGUGCGUCGUAGUCCGGAUUGGAGUCUGCAACUCGACUCCAUGAAGUCGGAAUCGCUAGUAAUCGUAGAUCAGAAUGCUACGGUGAAUACGUUCCCGGGCCUUGUACACACCGCCCGUCACACCAUGGGAGUGGGUUGCAAAAGAAGUAGGUAGCUUAACCUUCGGGAGGGCGCUUACCACUUUGUGAUUCAUGACUGGGGUGAAGUCGUAACAAGGUAAGCGUAGCGAG